GAUAAGACUGAGAUCACCUGGAAAUGAAGCGGAGGUUAAUGAUGAGGAGGAGGAAGAUGAGGGGAAUGGGUCGAGUGAGAGUGAUGUCGAAGAACAUGUGGAGGUGGAAAGGAGAUUGGACCAUGAUUUGAGUAGGUUUGAGAUGAUUUACCCGACUUAUGGAGGUGGGGAUUGAACUUAUGGAGGUGGGGAUUAUAGUUAUAAUAAUGUUUUGGAGAAUAGGGUGGAUGAUCAAGAUACCCAUAUAGCACAAUUGGAAGAAGAGAAUUUGACACUGAAAGAGAGGUUGUUUCUGAUGGAGAGAGAGUUGGGGGAUUUGAGGAGGAGGUUGCAGUUCUUGGAGAGGCAUCAAGGUCAGGGAAGCAGCGUUUUGGCUGUUGAAGAUGUGAAUGAGGAGGUUGUGGAAAAUGUUUAUGAGAAUGAUGAAAAUGAGAAUGAGAGUGACGGUGGAUCAGAUGAUGGUGCGACUGGAAAUGAGAAUAAUGGGGAGGUGAUGGAGUAUGUGAGUGGGAGUGGAGAAGUUAGGAGUGUUAGAAAUGAUGUUAAGGAGAGUCGUGAUGUUUGUAUGCAAGAGACUGUAUCUUAUAAUGUCGAAAUUGGGAAAGACGUGAUCGAGAAUAAAAUUGUAGGAAGUGAGUUUGUAGUUAGUAAUGAAGUAAUUGAGAAGGAGGAUGACGCAAAAGGUGAAGAAGUGAGGAAUGAUGUCGAAAUAGAAAAAUUGAUUGCAAAGGAGGAGGAGAAGGAAUUGUCUAAGAGUGAGGGUUUUGGGAAUAAGAGGCAAGACGAGGUGGCGAAAGAUGAGCAGAAGGAAUGAAGAAUCUAACAUAGGGAAGAGCAUUGGCAGCGGUGACUAAUCUAAUUGUCCCUGUUAAUGUAAGUCUCUUCUCUGAAUAAAUAGAACAUUUUACCUGUAUCUUUGCGCAAUGGAUAUAUGGCGCUUUAUGUAGAUGUAGUUUGUUUUUCUUUUCGUUUGUGGUUUUAUAGUUUGUUGGUCAAGGGGGAAUUUAGGAAGAACUGAACUAUAUUCUCUAUUUUCCCCUACUUUGGCUUAACAAAUGUAGGAGGUAGUUUAGUAGUUC
rnacentral:misc_RNA from 1 species